GUGAUGCUUUUGCCGAGAACAGAUCAGGAAUGCUCUUCAUAACUCCUUAAGUUAAGUGAUUGUUGAAAAGGAGCAGGGGAAGAAGACAAGGGAGCCAAACUGAGACCUUCUGAGAUGUGCUUCUGAGAACAACCUCAAAGCCCAUGUUCAUGAGAGAAAUGGUGGGGCCAUCUGUGGAAAGGCUGAUGUUACCUUGUAACUCUCUCUACUAACAUUGGCCCCUUCUGUGCAGCAGUCAAGCAAUAUUUAAAGAAAGUUAACGUCUCCCCAGAACACACCAACCAGGAAGCGAUGGGAGUGGGCGUGUUCCUGGCAGCAGAGAGAUGAAUGAAAACAGGAAGCACAGACUACUUACGCCAGGGUUUUCCAAAACCUUCUGUAGAACUGGAUGAAAUUUUUAAGACAAAUCUGUUUUCAGUGAAAAAUUAGGUGCUUGAGCCCCAGAACACCCAUGGAGUCGGCGCCUUGGUUCAAACUCUACUUUUAAAUGACAGCCAUGCACAGAAGAAAUCCACCAGCUAUUAAUCCUGUGAGCUAGCUUUUCCAAAAGACUUCUACUUCCAUUUUACGCACCAAUAUAUAUGGACAGAUGUUCAGAAGAGCUCUGUGUGUUGGGUGCAUGUCAACUGCUGAGCUCUUUUGAAAAUGUAGCCAGGAGACUCUCUGAGAGCUGCUGGGCACUGAGCCCUCAAACACCUGAUCCUAGGCUCUUCUGAAACCCCAGAAGAACGUAACCGUUCAGGGCCAGAUUUUCACACCAGCUCCACACCCACCAGCUCUCAUUUAGGCUUCUGCAGGAAGCGGGACAGAUUUUUCAAAGUGCCCAGCCAGCAGCUCUUGUUCUCUACAGGAGAACUCGUGGCUAUCCAGCCACUUUAUUUGGGGGCAGCUGGGCACUUCUGAAAAUGUGCCCCCCCCCAUUUGUGAUAAUCACAUGCUAUUUGAUUCUGAUGUACCCUAACACUCCUUUAUGUCACUUUGGCAGUUUAAAGUGGGCUUUAAGUGGGGUUAAUGUAACGGGCUCAUACUUUAAGGGCCCUUUACACUGCCACUGCAAAGGGGACCUAGUAUAACUGAGAGCUGGUCCCACUGUAUAUUUGGAAUUCAUGGUUUCAAUUGUUAUAUACCCUAUGGCAUCUUUUCACCGCUCUGGAAGUGUAAAAAGGCCUUGGAGUGGGUUUAACUGUAAUUUAUUACACAUUCUUUAAGGUCCCUUUACACUGCCAGGACAGCAUAAAAGUGGCUUAGUGUAUAUGAGAAUGUGGUCAUCUUGAUUCAAGACUCAAACUUGUGACAAUGAGAACCUCUGGUCACAUGGGCAAAGUUCUCAGAUCAAGACCAAGUGACGCAAAGUAGGCUCUCAGGCAGUCUCUCUUUUCCUCUGAUGAUUGAAAAUGCUGUUUCACUGGUGAAAAGCAGAAUUUUCCCCAUUAGCUUCACACUCCACUUGGAGUAGUUUUGCUCACAUGCGCAUCUUUCAUACAGCCUUGAGGUAUGUCGUUUAUAAAGGCUAAUAAAUCUUUCUUUAACAAUGAAAAUUAAAAAAUUUGCAUCAUGAAUUAUAAGGUUACAGCAUAGACGAGUGAAAAUCUAUCAUCUGAACAUCUGCAGCAUUAUUUUCCCUGUAGACAACCCUAUGCCACUAUUUACAUUAGCUGAAGCACCGUAACAUUUCCAGAAAUACAUUAUCCCUGGGCUACAUUUUGGGUCUGAUCCUGCUCUCACUGGAUUUUUGCCAUCCUCUUCACUGGGAGCAGGACUGGGCCCCCUGUGUUCAUAUUUGUGAACAUAAAGGAUAUAGAACAAGCACAAUAUGAGAAAUAUUAACAAAUGACUCAUUGCUGAAGAGCCAUAAAUUCAUAUAUGACAUGGGAAUAGGGUUUAAGUUCCUGAUUUAAAGGCUUCACUUAUGACUCUGACUAGCUAGCCAUAAAGUAGCAGAAAAAAGUCAAGUUAAGGACGGUGUUAUUUAUCUUUCUUCUUUAGUCAAACCUUCUAGGUAGGUAAAACACAGUAUGUAACUACCAGACCAUCAGAGGGCUCAAAGCUUUACCCAUACUGCAGUUUCAUUUCAAAAUUAUUGGCAGUAAAAGGGUUCAGAUGCUAUCUUAGUUAGAGUAAUGUAACACCACUGAAUGCAUGCCCAUAUU